UACGUAGGGGGGCAAGCGUUGUCCGGAUUUAUUGGGCGUAAAGAGCGUGUAGGCGGCUAGAUAGGUCCGUUGUGAAAACUCGAGGCUCAACCUCGAGACGUCGAUGGAAACCAUCUGGCUAGAGUCCGGAAGAGGAGAGUGGAAUUCCUGGUGUAGCGGUGAAAUGCGUAGAUAUCGGGAGGAACACCAGUGGCGAAGGCGACUUCCUGGCCUGUUCUUGACGCUGAGGCGCGAAAGCUAGGGUAGCAAACGGG
rnacentral:rRNA from 1 species